UGGGGAAUCUUGCACAAUGGGGGAAACCCUGAUGCAGCGACGCCGCGUGAGCGAUGAAGCCCUUCGGGGUGUAAAGCUCUUUCGGCAGGGAAGAUAAUGACGGUACCUGCAGAAGCAGCUGCGGCUAACUACGUGCCAGCAGCCGCGGUAAUACGUAGGCAGCAAGCGUUGUUCGGAGUUACUGGGCGUAAAGGGUGUGUAGGCGGUUGGAUAAGUGUGGUGUGAAAUCUCCCGGCUUAACUGGGAGGGUGCGCUACAAACUGUCUGACUAGAGUGUGGGAUGGGUAAGUGGAAUUCCUGGUGUAGCGGUGAAAUGCGUAGAUAUCAGGAGGAACACCGGUGGUGUAGACGGCUUACUGGACCAUAACUGACGCUGAGACACGAAAGCGUGGGUAGCAAACAG
rnacentral:rRNA from 1 species